rnacentral:rRNA from 1 species
UUGGGGGAUGGUUUUGGUUUGAGAACCGAUGAAGGACGUGCCAAGCUGCGAUAUGCCUUGGGGAGGUGCAUGGAGCCGUUGAUCCAAGGAUCUCCGAAUGGGACUUCCUGUUUACACUCCGAAAGGAGAGGGAACCCCGGGAAUUGAAACAUCUUAGUACCGGGAGGAAGAGAAAUCAAUAGAGAUACCGUGAUUAAAGGCGAUCGAAAGCGGUAGAGGGCAAACCGAAUCUUUUCUGAAAAGAAAUAGAGAUGUGGAGUACGGAUCUUUCUCAAUGCCUACUUUAGGAAUUUUAAAAAGUUGGAAAGCUUUACCAGAGAGGGUGAUAGUCCCCUGAAAGUAACUAAAGCGGCUACGAGGAAAGAUAUCCUGAGUACCAUGCGUCAUUAUUCGCGUGGGAAUAUGGGUGGCAUGAACAUCCAACCCUAAAUAUUACUCAAGUCCGAUAGCAAAGAAGUACCGUGAGGGAAAACUGANNNNNNGGGCCAGGGAGUUGUGAUGGAUGGCGAGGCUAAUUCUAAAAGAAGCAGCCGUAGCGAAAGCGAUUACUCGCACAGCAAUGGAGGAGUAACGUAAUAAAUGCGUUUAGUCAUCUGUGGCAGACCCGAAGCCACUCGAUCUAUACCUGAGCAGGUUGAAGUUUAGCGAAAGCUAGAUGGAGGACCGAACCAGUUCUGANNNNNNNNNNNNNNNNNNNNAUUUCUGGUGAGGUAGAGCGACCGAUUGGGUGGCCAGCAGUAGAAAUACUGCACCACUUUGUCAAACUCCGAACUUGCUAGAAUCGUAGAGACCAGGUGCUAGGGCGUAGGGAUAAGCUUUACGCCCGUGACGGAAACAACCGAGACUAAUGUUAAGGUCUCUAAAAUUGGCUAAGUGCGAUUUAAAGAGGUUAAUGACCAAAGACAGUGUGGAGGUUAGCUUAGAAGCAGCUAUCCUUUAAAGAGUGCGUAACA